AAUAUAAUUUUUUUUUAAAAAAAUUAGAUUUUUACACGUGCUCGUAUUACUAUAUAUAUAUAUGUGUGUAUACUAUACGCCUACAAGGCGUAUAGUAUACACAUUUAAUAUAAAUACACUUAGUUAUAUAUCAAAAUUUUUUAUAAAAUUUUGUGAUUUUAUCACAUACUCCAAUAAUUGGAGUAAUUAGUAAAAGUAUAAUGUAAUUUUAUUUCAUUAUUUUUGCCUACUAAUAAUGUAUAAUUGUUUUAUUUAAUUCGUAUUGAUUUUUAUGAAAACUUAAUCUUUUAAAAUUAUCUUUAAAAAAUAAUUAAAUCUAAACUAUAUACUCAUCUAUUUACUGUAAAGGUCCAAAAAGAUUAGUGAAUUUAUAAACCAAUAAUUAGAUAUAAAAAAUAAUUGAGUUGUUAGAACAAAAUUCUCACACGAAGAAUUAAAACUUCUGCCUUCUCAAAUAGGCAGAAGAAGUUUUUUUGUGUGAGGAUUUUAUAAAUUUGAAUAUUAAGCAUUUAAAGUAGUUUUAUAUUAUAAACUGUAAUCAAAAAAUUAGUAAGCUAAAGUUUAAUAAUAAAUAGGCUUAUGAGGAUUAUUAAAAUAAUCCGAGUAAGAAUAGAUACAAUAGUUUGUAUUAAAAUUAAUUAUAAAUAUUUAUUAUCAAGCUUAAUAUUUGUCAAUAAAUAAUAAAUAUUGGACCCUAUUACGGAUAGGGUCCUUGAUAUUUAUUUAAUUAAAAAUUUAUAUUGAUAUUUAAUUUAACAAAGAAUUAAUAAUUUAAAAUAAAACUAAUAAUAUAUUAAUAUUAGAUUAUAAAUAUCUUAUAAAUAAGAUAUUUAUAAUCUAAUAUGACUUUAUAUAAUACUAAUAAAUAUAUUAAUAUAGUAUAAAUACCUUCCAAGUAAGGUAUUUAUAAUAUAUUAUGACUUUAUAUAAUACUAAUAAAUAUAUUAAUAUAGUAUAAAUACCUUCCAAGUAAGGUAUUUAUACUAAAAAAAAAAAAAAAGAGAUAUAGCGGGAGUCUAGGUUUUGCUAGUGUAAGAUGGACAUGUGAUGUUUGUUUUGGGCGCAGUCUAAUAAUUUAUUAAAGCUAUUUAUGAGAAAAGGUUAAAUUUGUGCCAGCAGCUGCGGUUAGACUUGAUUUUCUAUUAAAAGAGAAGUAGGCAAAUUAUUUUAUGAUAAGGGUAGGGUGUUAUGGUGAAAUAGAUUUAAAAGCUGAUAUUUAGUAAAGAUUAGAUUUUAUCGGACAAGGAUUAGAUACCCUUUUACGAGUGAGUUUAGUCUAAUGAGUAUUUAUAUAAGUUAUGUGGCUUGGCGGCUAAUUUUUUUAGAGGAGUUUGCACAUGACCGAAGCUACCCGGUAGCUCUUAUCUCUCUUAUUUAUGUACACCGUCAUUUAUUUAAUUCGGAGCAGAAAAAUUAAUAAAGUGGGGUAAAUAAAUUAGAUCGAGGUGCAGGGUGAAGAAGAAGUAUGUUAACUACAAUAUUGAAUUAUAAACCGGUUGAGGGGUAGUUACCGCUAAAGGGUGGAUUUAAUAGUAAUUAUUUUUAUUUGAUGUGAGCAGUUAGUGUACAAAUUGCCCGUCAAUCUCUUUGAGAUAAGUCGAAACAAAGUAGAAGCACUGGAAAGUAUUUCU
rnacentral:rRNA from 1 species